UACGUAGGUGGCGAGCGUUAUCCGGAUUUACUGGGUGUAAAGGGAGCGCAGGCGGGAGAACAAGUCAGCUGUGAAAUCUAUGGGCUCAACCCAUAAACUGCAGUUGAAACUGUUUUUCUUGAGUGGAGUAGAGGCAAGCGGAAUUCCGAGUGUAGCGGUGAAAUGCGUAGAUAUUCGGAGGAACACCAGUGGCGAAGGCGGCUUGCUGGGCUCUAACUGACGCUGAGGCUCGAAAGUGUGGGGAG
rnacentral:rRNA from 1 species